UGGUGAAAUAAUGUCUGACGGAGAGUGAACACUUGUACAGUAUUUCUCUUCUGUGUCUCAGCAGGUGUGUUUAUUAAAUCUAAAUGUCACAAAUGUGUAUUUUUUAUUUUUCAGCUGCUGUCUUUACAAAUGUAAUUAAACCAGACAAGGCAGUUAUUUUUUGAGGAGGGUUCAUAUAUUACAUUGUCCUGCAUUUAUUCCUCUUCAGUCGACUAACUGUAUCUAACACAGUUAAACAAAUACAAUAUAAUAUACAGUAUACAGCAGCAUAUGAAAGUGAACAGCAGCAGGAAGUUGAGCGAGGAGGAAGUUCCUGUGUGUGUUUGUGACUGAUCUGCAGUGACUUACAGCUCAAGCACUGAGAGCCUCAACAGAGAACUGAUCUGAUCUGAUUCAACAUGGACACAUGCUUCAUACUGAUUCUCAUUGUGGGGACAGGUUUGGUGACUGGAGACAACAUUGAGCCAGAUAAAGAGACAGAAAUAAACACUAAAGAAACAGAAAAUGUCAAGAUGAGCUGCUCAUAUAGUACAAAUAGUCAAUAUGUUCGGCUUUACUGGUACAGACAAUAUCCAAACAAAGAACCUCAGUAUUUAUUACGCAAAGGUGUACGAUCAUAUAGUGAUGUUGAACACACCUCUGAUGAUCGGUUUCAGUCGACUGCAUCAGAUUCAUCCACUGAACUCACUAUUACUGAUGUACGUCUGUCAGAUUCAGCUCUCUAUUAUUGUGCUCUAAGAGUUGAAGCCCAGUGAUACAAAACAUGAAACACGUCGUACAAAAACCUGAAGCUCUUUUCACUUUGAACUGAUCUAGUGAAAACCACAAUCAAAACCACAAUCUAU